rnacentral:misc_RNA from 1 species
CCAAUAGCGUAUAUUAAAGUUGUUGCAGUUAAAAAGCUCGUAGUUGAAUUUCGGGAUCAAAGAAUCGGUCAUGCCUUGGUAUGUACUGGUUUUAUUGGUUCUCACCUUCUAAAGAACCAUGAUGUCAUUCAUUUGAUGUUAUGGGGAAUUAGGACUGUUACCUUGAAAAAAUUAGAGUGUUUAAAGCAAGCUUACGCUUGAAUACAUUAGCAUGGAAUAAUGAAAUAGGACAUCAGAUUCUAUUUUGUUGGUUUCUAGGAUCGAUGUAAUGAUUAAUAGGGAUAGUUGGGGGCAUUAGUAUUCAAUUGUCAGAGGUGAAAUUCUUGGAUUUAUUGAAGACUAACUACUGCGAAAGCAUUUGCCAAGGAUGUUUUCAUUAAUCAAGAACGAAAGUUAGGGGAUCGAAGACGAUCAGAUACCGUCGUAGUCUUAACCAUAAACUAUGCCAACUAGGAAUCAGACGAUGUUAAUUUUUUAAUGACUCGUUUGGCACCUUACG